rnacentral:rRNA from 1 species
GACGAACGCUGGCGGCGUGCCUAAUACAUGCAAGUCGAACGAGAGCAACCGGUGCUUGCACUGGUCAAUCUAGUGGCGAACGGGUGAGUAACACGUGGGUAACCUGCCCAUCAGAGGGGGAUAACAUCCGGAAACGGAUGCUAAAACCGCAUAGGUCUUCGAACCGCAUGGUUUGAAGAGGAAAAGAGGCGCAAGCUUCUGCUGAUGGAUGGACCCGCGGUGCAUUAGCUAGUUGGUGAGGUAACGGCUCACCAAGGCCGUGAUGCAUAGCCGACCUGAGAGGGUGAUCGGCCACAUUGGGACUGAGACACGGCCCAAACUCCUACGGGAGGCAGCAGUAGGGAAUCUUCCGCAAUGGACGCAAGUCUGACGGAGCAACGCCGCGUGAGUGAAGAAGGUUUUCGGAUCGUAAAACUCUGUUGUUAGAGAAGAACAAGUGCUAGAGUAACUGUUAGCGACUUGACGGUAGCUAACCAGAAAGCCACGGCUAACUACGUG